GCUUUGGUGUUUAGUGGUAUAAUGAUUCGUUGCCAUCGAAUCGACCCGGGUUCGAUUCCCGGCAAUUCAGUG
rnacentral:tRNA from 1 species